CUGCGCAAUGGCGGGCGCCCCUCCCCCAGCCUCGCUGCCGCCUUGCAGUUUGAUCUCAGACUGCUGUGCUAGCAAUCAGCGAGACUCCGUGGGCGUAGGACCCUCCGAGCCAGGUGUGGGAUAUAAUCUCGUGGUGCGCCGUUUUUUUAAGCCCGUCGGAAAAGCGCAGUAUUCGGGUGGGAGUGACCCGAUUUUCCAGGUGCCGUUCGUCACCCCUUUCUUUGACUAGGAAUGGGAACUCCCUGACCCCUUGUGCUUCCCGAGUGAGGCAAUGCCUCACCCUGCUUCAGCUCGCGCACGGUGUGCGCACCUACUGACCUGCGCCCACUGUCUGGCACUCCCUAGUGAGAUGAACCCGGUACCUCAGAUGGAAAUGCAGAAAUCACCCGUCUUCUGCGUCGCUCACGCUGGGAGCUGUAGACCGGAGCUGUUCCUAUUCGGCCAUCUUGGCUCCUCCAUUCUGCUUUUAAGUUCCUGUCAUCUCCAUUAAGAAUCAGCUUAUUGGCCGGGCGCAGUGGCUCACGCCUGUAAUCCCAGCACUUACUUUGGGAGGCUGAGGCGGGUGGAUCACGAGGUCAGGAGAUCGAGACCAUCCUGUCUAACAAGGAAUCCUUUCUGGCACUCAAGAGUUUUCAAUUCAAUCCUGAUGAAUGAAUCAUUAUUUGAUACCAGCCUAAGUGAAGACUCUGCCUGGUGACUUUUGCAAGGUGGUUUCUGGCUGCAACAUGGGAAGAUUUGGGAUCAGUGAGAUGGAAGAGAUUUUUCUGGCUACUAGCGUUCCUAAGAAAGAGCUUUAGUGUUUAUCCAGCUAUUGGUAUGCAGACAACUAUACCCUUAUGAGAAACACUAGCAGAGAAGAAGAGUUCUUGACUGGGUCUGGGCCAUGAAACUGACCAGAUAAAAGUGGGAGAAGAAGAGAUGUUGAAGGAGGAGUUUGCUGUUUUCUCAGUCUCCUGAGAAAUUCCAGGUUUGGAUGCUUCCUAAGGCCAUUCCCACUCUCCUCUAUCUAAACCAGAGAGAACGAUUGCUUGUCCUUAUCACAUUAUCCUUGCUUUCACUGUAAAUGAUGAUAAAUAAUAAUCUCUACACUUGCAUUUGCAUACAGCACUGCGUGCUUUUUCAAAGAACACUCAAGUCUGUUCUCACAUUUGAUUCUCACACCAGGCUUGGAGAUAUUUGAGGCAUCUCCUCCCCCCAAACUCAGUUGGACAGAUCAGAAAAAUGAGGUCCAGCAAACUGAAAUGACUUGCUCCAGAACUCACAGACAAUUAAUGACUAGAACCCAGGUCUUCUAACUUCCUACCAGUUAUUGUGAGGAGAGCCCAUAAAGGAGAAAAGGACAAGGGAUGAUCUAUGGAACAUUCAAACUCCUGUCUCUAGUUGCCUUUUUCUGGUUGUUUCUUGGAUAUCACGCACUCUCAUCAGCAGCCUUCCUACUCUUACAGAUUAUCAACACCUGUCCCAAAAUCCUGGGGCCAGCCAUGGUGCUUGGGCUUUUUUUCCCCACAUCUAACCAUUCCGCAGCAUAUAACAAAUCCUUGACAAAUUUCCAGUGGAAAAAAAUAGCAGAAACCAUACACCCUCCAUCUGUGAAUUGAUGUGGCCAAGAACAGGCUUAUUUCAAAGGGUGCACCAUAGAAUAGUCAUAAGACUCAACCCCUCCAAGACUAGCUGGUGCUUAUCCCGCCCAUAGGCAGUUAAAAGGACUUUAUUUGCAUCUUAUUCUUUCCAACAGAAAGGCAAACAUUAUUAUUACAAUUCAGUAAAUUUCCAUAAGGAACCCCAUUGAUACAUGUUAUAUAUUUUGGGUUCUUUUGUUUCAUGCUGAGCAUACCAACAUUAUAUCAAUAUUAUAUUUAUGUAGCAUUCUCCCAUAUUCAUAGAAAUAGAGAACUCAUCAGCCUUUAAAAAGAACUCAAAUGCACACAAAAUUUCACCCUCUAGAAAAGCAUCAAUGAAAAUGAUUUUGCAAAUAUAUAUACUUUUCAAUAUGUAAGUAUCUACAAAAAAAUUGAUAAUAAUUAAAUACCUGUAAAGUGCCAUGCACUUUACCUGUAUAUCUCAUUUAAUUCUCACAACAACCCUGUGAAGUAAGAAUUACUACGCCCAUUUUAUAGAUGAACUAACUAGGAGUCAAAGACAUUGAGCCACUUGCCACACAUUUACAGCACGGAGCUACAAAGAUCUGGGACUUGAAUCCAGGUUUUCUAACUCCAGAGCCAAAGCUUUUCUUAAUAUGCCACAGGAGCAAGCACAGGAGCUUGCUCCAAAAGUCAAGUUAAUUUUUAGGAAAGAAUUAGUUAAGCAAAUAUUCAUGAAUUAGAGAAUGUCUUUAAUUUCAGAUCCAAAUCACUUGGUCACUUAAAAAUAAAAGACAAUAAAUCAUAAGGGAUUCUACUUGACUUAUUAUCUAAAGUGAUUAAUAAGAAUGACAUUUCCCCACCAACCCCAAAUGAAAAAAUCAAUUUGGGAAGUUUCCCAAUAAUUUAAACUUGAAACACUAAUCUGAAAAAGAAAAUCUAUAUAUCAAAAGUCUUCAUAGUAUGGCACAAAUAAAACAGAAUCUUAAUUUCCAAUUUCUAUUAAACUGAUUUUUCUUUUAAACUGGAGCCAGAAAGCCAAAAAGCCUUCAAAUCAAUUGAGCCUCUUGCAUUUUAUUUAAGAAGUUUCAUUUUUCAAACCAAAGCUGGGAAGACAAAACAAGCUUAUUUAAUUCACACCCCAGAAUUGUAAUUUCUCUGUUCAAGCCAAUGUCUAAGUGCCUGUAUUAAGGGCUUCCCACUGACCAUAAUGUGUUAAUUCAUCAUUGCAUACAAUUUUCCUUUGUACUUUUAAGCUACUCUUCAUUUUCCCCUUGGUUAGGGUUGCCUAUACAACAGAGGACACCCAGUAAAACAUAAAUUUCAGAUAAACAACAAAUAGUCUUUACAUAAGCAUGCCCCCUGCAAUAAUUGAGACAUACUUAUACCCCCAAAAUUAUUUAUCUGAAAUUCACAUUUAACUAGACAUCCUGUAUUUUUAUUUGCUAAAUCUGGCAACCCUAUUCUUGAUCCAUUGUGGGUAUUCCCAGGACUUCACCUCUAAACUAUUAUAUUUUUCAAAUACAUUAUUUGUAUGUUUUGUGGUGUGUAUGUGUGUGUGUGCGCGCGCGCGUGCCUCUCAGAAUGGAGGUUCUGGAGCAUCUCUCACUCUUGAGACCACAGCCAUCUAUCACUUUGGUUAUCAGUGUGUCCUCUAUCGUAUAUAUAAUUAUGUAUUAUGUUAUAUAUAUAUACAUAAUUUAGUGUGAGACUAGCCAGGACCAUUUUGAAAACGAAAAGUCAGUGGUGGGAGGUGGGAAGGAGUGUGUUGGGAGAAACUUUACCCACCACGUAUUAAAAGGUAUUAUAAAUCUAUACUGAUUAAAACAGUUUGGUUCUAGUAUGUGAGUAGAUAAAUUAACACCACAGAAUAGAGAUUACCCAAUUCUUUACCCCAAAAUAAGUUCUAGAAAUAUAAAGGAGUCAAAUGGAAAAUGCAAUUGUAAAGACACCAAGAGAAAGCAUGGAAUAAUUAUAUGUAGUCUUGAAGUGAAAAUGAUUUUUCUAAGGAAGAUGCAAAAUCCAGGAAGUAAAAAGAAAAAUUUCAUAAAUCUAGCUACAUAUAAUUUUCAAAACUUUUUUCAUGUAGAAAAUAUAAUAAAUGCAGUCAAAAAGCAAUUUAGGGGAACAUCUUCAAUUUAUCUCACUCAGGGUGGACUAAGUUAUUUAAUAUGUAAAAAUCUCUUGCAAAUCAAUAGAAAAAAAGCAAAAUCAUGAAUAGAAAAAUGAGUAAAGGCUAUAAAUGGACAUUUCACUGAAAAACAGCCAUACAAGUUAAUAAACACACAGAAAAAGAGGCUUAACCUCACUGAUGAUUAAAGCAAUGCAAAUUAAAGCAAUAAUGAAACAUCAUUUCCCUUCAUUAUAUUGAAAAAGAUUAAAAGCUAGAUAAUGUGUAGUAUUGAUGGGGAUAGAGAGAUGGGCAUUUCAUAACUUGUAGAUGAGAUUAUAAAUUGGUGCAACCUCUUUGGAGGGCACGAUUUUGCAGUAUCUUUUAAUAUGAAAAAUGUAUUUAUCCUUGACUAAGUAAUUCCCAUUCUAGAAAUGUAUAUUAUGAAAAUACUUGCACAGUAUGCAAAUGUAUACAAGUAUAAGGGUGUCCAUUGCAGUAUUAUUUGUGUUAAUGAAAAAUGGGACUAAGGCAAAUGUCUAUUAUAAGAGAUAGGAUAAAAAAUUUAGUGCAUAUUCAUAUAUUGAAAUAAUAUUGUCAAUUAAAAAAUAAAACUGAUCCACAUGUGUGGAAAUAAAAUUAUUUCCCAAUUUAAUUUGUUGAAAUUUUUAAAAGACUCACAAUGGUGUGCAGGUGUAUGCCCUUUUUUAAUAAGGAAAGAUGCAUAUAUGUACAUAUGUUUGUAUGUGCAGAAGUAGACUGGCUUUUUUAUAUC